GACGAACGCUGGCGGCGUGCUUAACACAUGCAAGUCGAACGGAAAGGCCCUGCUUGCCGGGUACUCGAGUGGCGAACGGGUGAGUAACACGUGGGUGAUCUGCCCUGCACUUCGGGAUAAGCUUGGGAAACUGGGUCUAAUACCGGAUAGGACCGCACUUUAGUGUGUGUGUUGGAAAGUUUUUUCGGUGUAGGAUGAGCUCGCGGCCUAUCAGCUUGUUGGUGGGGUAAUGGCCUACCAAGGCGGCGACGGGUAGCCGGCCUGUGAGGGUGUACGGCCACACUGGGACUGAGAUACGGCCCAGACUCCUACGGGAGGGAGCAGUGGGGAAUCUUGCACAAUGGGCGCAAGCCUGAUGCAGCGACGCCGCGGGGGGGAUGAAGGCCUUAGGGUUGUAAACUCCUUUCGCUAGGGACGAAGCUUUUUGUGACGGUACCUAGAUAAGAAGCACCGGCUAACUACGUG
rnacentral:rRNA from 1 species